rnacentral:rRNA from 1 species
GUGAAUCAUCGAGUCUUUGAACGCACCUUGCGCUCUUUAGUUAUUCUGAAGAGCAUGCUUGUUUGAGUGUCGCGAACUUCUCAACCCCGCCAAAGGCUUUAUUGACUUUGGUUGUUCUGGGCUUGGAUCAUGGUCUUUUGCUGUGUUACAACAGCUGGACUGAAAUACAACAAGUUGAAUGAAUCAAUUGCAGCUUGACCUGAUGUUGUAACCAUACUCAUUGGGGAUGCAAAUGAAUCAACGAACUUUAAUAGAAACCCAAUUUCGUACUUAGCUGUACAAAUUUAUGACCUCAAAUCAAGUAGGACUACCCGCUGAACUUAA